GACGAACGCUGGCGGCGUGCCUAAUACAUGCAAGUAGAACGCUGAAACUUGGUGCUUGCACCGAGCGGAUGAGUUGCGAACGGGUGAGUAACGCGUAGGUAACCUGCCUGGUAGCGGGGGAUAACUAUUGGAAACGAUAGCUAAUACCGCAUAAGAGUAGAUGUUGCAUGACAUUUGCUUAAAAGGUGCAAUUGCACCACUACCAGAUGGACCUGCGUUGUAUUAGCUAGUUGGUGGGGUAACGGCUCACCAAGGCGACGAUACAUUGCCGACCUGAGAGGGUGAUCGGCCACACUGGGACUGAGACACGGCCCAGACUCCUACGGGAGGCAGCAGUAGGGAAUCUUCGGCAAUGGACGGAAGUCUGACCGAGCAACGCCGCGUGAGUGAAGAAGGUUUUCGGAUCGUAAAGCUCUGUUGUAAGAGAAGAACGAGUGUGAGAGUGGAAAGUUCACACUGUGACGGUAGCUUACCAGAAAGGGACGGCUAACUACGUG
rnacentral:rRNA from 1 species